rnacentral:rRNA from 1 species
AGUGAACGCUGGCGGUAGGCCUAACACAUGCAAGUCGAACGGCAGCACAGUAAGAGCUUGCUCUUACGGGUGGCGAGUGGCGGACGGGUGAGGAAUACAUCGGAAUCUACUUUUUCGUGGGGGAUAACGUAGGGAAACUUACGCUAAUACCGCAUACGACCUACGGGUGAAAGCAGGGGAUCUUCGGACCUUGCGCGAUUGAAUGAGCCGAUGUCGGAUUAGCUAGUUGGCGGGGUAAAGGCCCACCAAGGCGACGAUCCGUAGCUGGUCUGAGAGGAUGAUCCGCCACACUGGAACUGAGGAACGGUCCAGACUCCUACGGGAGGCAGCAGUGGGGAAUAUUGGACAAUGGGCGCAAGCCUGAUCCAGCCAGACCGCGUGGGUGAAGAAGGCCUUCCGGUUGGAAAGCCCUUUUGUUGGGAAAGAAAAGCAGCAGGUUAAUACCCCGCUGUUCUGACGGUACCCAAAGAAUAAGCACCGGCUAACUUCGUG